AUUGAACGCUGGCGGCAGGCCUAACACAUGCAAGUCGAGCGGAUGAAGGGAGCUUGCUCCUGGAUUCAGCGGCGGACGGGUGAGUAAUGCCUAGGAAUCUGCCUGGUAGUGGGGGAUAACGUCCGGAAACGGGCGCUAAUACCGCAUACGUCCUGAGGGAGAAAGUGGGGGAUCUUCGGACCUCACGCUAUCAGAUGAGCCUAGGUCGGAUUAGCUAGUUGGUGGGGUAAAGGUCUACCAAGGCGACGAUCCGUAACUGGUCUGAGAGGAUGAUCAGUCACACUGGAACUGAGACACGGUCCAGACUCCUACGGGAGGCAGCAGUGGGGAAUAUUGGACAAUGGGCGAAAGCCUGAUCCAGCCAUGCCGCGUGUGUGAAGAAGGUCUUCGGAUUGUAAAGCACUUUAAGUUGGGAGGAAGGGCAGUAAGUUAAUACCUUGCUUUUUUGACGUUACCAACAGAAUAAGCACCGGCUAACUUCGUG
rnacentral:rRNA from 1 species